GACGAACCGUGCGAACGUUAUUCGGAAUCACUGGGCUUAAAGGGCGCGUAGGCGGGCGGUCAAGUCAGAGGUGAAAUCCCACGGCUCAACCGUGGAAGUGCCCCUGAUACUGGCCGUCUCGAGGGAGGUAGGGGCGUGCGGAACUUCCGGUGGAGCGGUGAAAUGCGUAGAUAUCGGAAGGAACACCGGUGGCGAAAGCGGCGCGCUGGAUCUCUACUGACGCUGAGGCGCGAAAGCCAGGGGAGCAAACGGG
rnacentral:rRNA from 1 species